rnacentral:rRNA from 1 species
GACGAACGCUGGCGGCGUGCUUAACACAUGCAAGUCGAACGGAAAGGCCCUGCUUUUGUGGGGUGCUCGAGUGGCGAACGGGUGAGUAACACGUGAGUAACCUGCCAUUGACUUUGGGAUAACUUCAGGAAACUGGGGCUAAUCCCGGAUAGGAGCUCCUGCUGCAUGGUGGGGGUUGGUAAGUUUCGGCGGUUGGGGAUGGACUGGCGGCUUAUCAGCUUGUUGGUGGGGUAGUGUCUUAGCAAGGCUUUGAAAGGUAGCCGGCCUGGUAGGGUGAGAUGACACGUUGGAACUGGAAUACGACCCAGACUACUACGGUAGGCAGCAGUGGGGUAGAUUGUAUUAUGGGCGGAAGCCUGAUGCAGCAACGCCGCGUGCGGUAUGACGGCCAUCGGGUUGUAAUCCGCUGUCGCCUGUGACGAAGCGUGAGUGACGGUAAUGGGUAAAGAAGCACCGGCUAACUACGUG